rnacentral:rRNA from 1 species
AGAGUUUGAUCAUGGCUCAGGACGAACGCUGGCGGCGUGCUUAACACAUGCAAGUCGAACGGAAAGGCCCUUCGGGGUACUCGAGUGGCGAACGGGUGAGUAACACGUGGGUGAUCUGCCCUGCACUUUGGGAUAAGCCUGGAAAACUGGGUCUAAUACCGAAUAGGACCACGCGCUUCAUGGUGUGUGGUGGAAAGCUUUUGCGGUGUGGGAUGGGCCCGCGGCCUAUCAGCUUGUUGGUGGGGUAAUGGCCUACCAAGGCGACGACGGGUAGCCGGCCUGAGAGGGUGACCGGCCACACUGGGACUGAGAUACGGCCCAGACUCCUACGGGAGGCAGCAGUGGGGAAUAUUGCACAAUGGGCGCAAGCCUGAUGCAGCGACGCCGCGUGAGGGAUGACGGCCUUCGGGUUGUAAACCUCUUUCACCAGGGACGAAGCGUAAGUGACGGUACCUGGAGAAGAAGCACCGGCCAACUACGUGCCAGCAGCCGCGGUAAUACGUAGGGUGCGAGCGUUGUCCGGAAUUACUGGGCGUAAAGAGCUCGUAGGUGGUUUGUCGCGUUGUUCGUGAAAACUCACAGCUUAACUGUGGGCGUGCGGGCGAUACGGGCAGACUAGAGUACUGCAGGGGAGACUGGAAUUCCUGGUGUAGCGGUGGAAUGCGCAGAUAUCAGGAGGAACACCGGUGGCGAAGGCGGGUCUCUGGGCAGUAACUGACGCUGAGGAGCGAAAGCGUGGGGAGCGAACAGGAUUAGAUACCCUGGUAGUCCAA